rnacentral:lncRNA from 1 species
GGGAGUGCAAGAGCACGUCCAGCAGGUCCCCCCGGACAUUUACAGCCCUGAUUUUGCCAAUGGAAAGUUAAUCAUUGGUUUGAAACUGUGCAAAAACGUUAAGGGAAAAAAAAUCACAAGAUCACAGGAAGAACUCUAAUGUGUUUCCUAGUAUGUCCCUUUCAUUUGCCUCCACAGACUGCAGUGCUAAAUACCUUGGGGAGAAAUGUGUCUGAGCAUUUCAACACCUGACAAAUAUUAACUACCUCAGAGCAUGCUCAGACAAGCGGGUUUAGGGGAUGCUGAGGUCUGUGGAAAUAGUCACUUUCAAAUUCUGCACUUCAUUUCAGUAUUUUUCUGAAUGACCACCACAGGACAAAGUAAAGUUACAAAAGCGCUCACAAUAUUUAAAGAUCCUUCAGUGCUUAACAAAUAUUACUUCAUUAAGCUUUUUGAUACCUUUCCAAGGUAAUUAUGGCAUUGUUAUCUCUUCCUGCUUUUAGAAAUAGAGAAAUUAGGUAUUCUCAGAGAGUAAUGCAGAGUGAAACUCUGUAAAACUGGCUAAUGAUGUCCUGAUAGCUCUUUGCAGAUCCUCUCACUGCUACCCAGCACUCCUGACCUGUGUUGCAGAAAAACCCAUCUGUGUCCUCUAGCUAAGGAAGAAGUGGUAUUGAUUUGACUGCCCAUGGGAAGCAAACAAUAACAUGAACAGCAACCCAUGUGUGAGGAAGUUGAACAGACUUGAACCACUUGAACAAGUUGAGGGGGAGAAAACUACGGAAAGAAGAAAGUGCACCCAAGACAGGGUAUUGCACACCUGGAUCUGCAGGUCGGCAGACAUCCUGGGCUCUGGGUGGGGCUGCUCCUGCCCACAGGAGUUUUGUAGUCAUGUCCCUACCCACAGCUCCCCUCGGUACACGUCCAGUGAGAUGUUUGUCAGGAAAAUAGCACAGCUGUGGUGGCCUUGA